UCGUGCUUCCGGGUACGGACUGGGCACGGACAGUCGGAAAACAGAUUUAAGCCACGUUUGAAGCAUGGCCUCGGUUUGUCAGUACUGUGAGAACAUGCCCUUACAGAAUACUAUUCUGUAUCUGUACCUAUUCUGAGAAUAAGUCUGGAUGCCAAAACAAACCCCGGAGUUGCUUUUACUGUCGAAAACGAGUGAGACUGGACGGUGAACACACCUGUGACGCAAAGGUUUACUGGUUCAGCUGCUGCAGCCUUGACAGAAACACCAGCUCUCACCUUACAAACCAAAGAGAAUUCAAACCAUUAAAUCACAGAUAGACGAGACAGACAUGAAGACAUUUCCAGGUUUUCAGCUGCUGUCAUCUUCCUCCUCCUGCAGAGACAAGAACACGCAUUAAUGAGAGAAACGGAUCACUAAAUCUAGAUAUUUUCAUGACAUGGUACUAUGUUUUUACACCUACUAUUAUACUAUACUAUGACGUGCAGCUUAAGACAAAUUAGCCAUCUUACCUUGUUUUCAAACACUCACACCUCUAGACAGUGUUUGUGGGUUAGGUUACAUUUUCAUUUUGCUAUUUCAAGCAGUGCAAUAUCAGUACUCAAAUCCAAUCUAUUACUGUAAACAUAGUCCUGUUUGUACUGUUUCAUAUUUUACUGUUCAUAAUUUUUAGAUGUUGUUAUUUAUUGUCUUGUUUAUAUAAUGCGUUUUUCCUAUUUUUGCUGUUGCAAUACUUGACUUUCUCUGCUGUGGGACUGAUAAAGUAUUAUCUUACUCAAAUAAAUACUUCUGAACACUGAA